ACAGACAAGCCAUAGGUCACUCAGGAGCCGCCAGCGUGUCCUAGAGCUCCUGCAGAGGCCUCCACUGCCAGAGAGCCCCCAACCUGGGUACCAAAGGCUUCAAAUCUCAAGCUCUGUCCACUUGAGCUACUUUAUUUCCUAGCUGCCUUCAAAACCCCUCAGUGUGCUUUUUAAAAACAAAACUUGAAGCCCGCCCUGGAGGAGUCAAGAGGAGACCCAGGAAGAAGGAGGCCUCCAGAGCAGCACGCGGGGGUCUCUGGGGCCCUGCCGGGCUCGCAGAAGCGACUCCCCGUGGCUCGCGGGGAUGGGGACGGCUGGGCGCCGGCGGGACGCUGCAGGAGCGAGCUACCGGCCGGAGGACACGGGGGGACGCUGGGAACUCGGGGUGAAGGGACGGGACUCAGAGUUUCGUCAGAUUGGGGGCGGGGAGAGGAGGCCCGGGUCCGAGGAUGGAAGCGAUCCCCGCCGGGAGGGAGAACAAAGCGGUGGCCCUCUCUCUCCCCCGACGCACGAUUUCAUGCACGCGAUUGUCCCAAGCAGAAGCGUGAAAGAGCCUGUGAGCCAGCGUGCUCUUGGAGGAUGGGAAGUGUCCUGGAUGUGUUUUCAAACCUUGGAGCCGCCACCCACCUCUCUCCACCUCCGCUCAUCUCCCUCCACCUCCCCUCACCUCCCUCCACCUCCCCUCACCUCCCUCCAUCUUCCUCCACCUUUCUCCACCUUCCCCCACCUCCCUCAUCCCAGGGCCUGGAGCUGGAAAGAUUACACCCGAUUGCUUUUAGGGUGGCCCGGAUCUGCAGUGAUCAGAUCUGGGCUUUGAGGAUCCAGCCUUUCGGCCUUUCGUCAACUGCAUUCAGGGGAGGAGGGGGAGAGAUUUUUACACAUUCUCUGCUUUACCAGUUUUGCAAGAACAUCUGGUCAGAUUGUAAUUGUUCCAGGUUGCAGCUUUACUAAAGCAAUCGCUCUUUUCUGAUUAGAAAUCCUUCUUGUAUGAGUCUGUUGUUCAUUUCAACCCCUCUCACAUGCCUAUGCUCCGGUUCUUUGUCCACUCCUGUAGGUUCCUGCUUUUUCUGGGUGUGUCUUCAUUCCCCAGGUCCCUGACAUCUCACCAGCGUCUUCAUUCACUCAGCCCAAUUCGGGUCGAAGCCCUGAAUCCAAGAGAACUUAACACAGUUUUCCUGAUGCAGGCGUCUUUUGUUCAUCUUCGAAUUCUGGCACACAGAGGGGAGAGGAAUGCUGAUUUUGCCUAGUUUAAAGGGGAAAUAGUUAUCAAUCGGUUAAUGACGUUCUAGGUUGGAAAAAUAUUAGUCAUUCAGACUUGGCGCCCUGGUCCUGCUCAGCAGGGCUGGCUCUUCAUGUCGUUUCUAAGCGCCAGCGCCUUGGAGGGUGCAGCUCCAGAGAUCCCUGAAAUCAGGCAUCUGCUUGGCAACUGCCUUACAGAAAUGGGGGGUGUUGUUUCUCAGCACACGGGUAAACAUUUUCUCCUAGUAAUUGUGAGAGGGCGUUGUUUUGAGCCAUUUUUGUAGUCUGCAUCUCACUUCUUUUCCCCAAAGUCAAGCACCAUCUUUUAUUUUCAUUUUCAAAGACCAGGCCCAGGAACCAUAUUCACAAGCAACAUCAUUAAAAUUUCCAGGAGCAGAAAAGUGCUAUCAUUAGGAUGAUGAUCAAACUUUAGAGUUCACAAGACUCUCCUGGGGAGCUGGUUAAUGCAGCUUCACUGGGUGGGGAAGAUCUGUGGAAGCACCUAGAAUCCUGUACCUGCUGAGAGACACCAGAUGGGUGUGAUGUGGGUGGCUCAUGACCCAUGCUUUAGGGGAUUCCACUAGACCAUCUUACUGCUUGGAUAUCAAAACUUAGCCAUGAGGCUCAGUGUGGGUGCAGGGCCAGAUUGGGGGGUACCAGGAACUUCAAAAUAUGUCACAGGAGUAGUUGCCAUACAGAAGUCAAAAAGCAUCAACUUUGGUUCCAGCCUAGACACUGCGGAAGAUGUAAGGGAAAUGGUAGAUAAAUCUUCUUCCCUUAGAAAGGCUAUUAGUUUAAACGUAAAAUCCAACAAGUUCACAGUGAAAAAUGUAACUUGCUUGAAAGACAACAGGAAUCUUAUGAAUGUGUGCUCAAGAACAUCCUACAUAGACUUAUAUAGGUCAUCCUAUAAAGGGCACAGAAUGAUGAGUAAAUAGUUUUUAAAAAUCUAAUUCAUUUUAUUAUCUUUGUAUAUUUUGAUAAUACUUUGUGCGGUCUGAUUACACUUCGAUACUUUGGAGAGCAUUAACAUAAUACAAAAUAAUACUUGAUAACCCAAAUAGUAUUUGCAAAGACCGGUAUCCAGAAAUAACAGCUCAUCUGUCCAAGGCUUUAUUCUUAAUCUUGCAUUAUGAGGAUUUAGAGGCAAAAAUUCUUUUUAAACCUCAAAUUUCUGUUACAUGUUGUAUUAGUCUGUUCUCAUAUUGGUAUAAAGAACUACCUUAGACCUGGAUAAUUUAUGAAGAAAAGAGGUUUAAUUGACUCACAGUUCUGCAGGCUGUACAGAAAGCAAGGCUGGGAGGCCUCAGGAAAUUUACAAUCAUGGCAGAAGGCAAAGGGGAAGCAAGCACGUCUUACCAUGGCAGAGCAGGAGAGAGAGAGAGCAAGGGUGUAGUGCCACAUACUUUUAAACCAUCAGAUCUUGUGAGAACUCACUCACUAUAACGAGAACAAUAUGGGAGAAAUCCACCCCCAUGAGCCAAUCACCUCCCACCAGAUCCCUCCCCCAACACUGGGAAUUACAAUUCAACAUGAGAUUUGGGUGGGGACACAGAGCCAAACCAUAUCACAUGUCUAGUGGAAUAGCUUUGGACUAGGACCUCUAUUUUUCUGUAACAAUCCAUGUUACUUUAGCCAAUGAGUCUAAGCCAAUUAUAUCAGUGUAAUAUACAUCAAUUUUCUCAUCCAUAAAAUGGAGCCACCCAUUUAUUCUCUACUGCAUAUGAUGAUGAGAUGAAUGUGAGAUAACAUGCAAGAGAAUUCUUUGCAAAAUGCUAUAAAACUGUAAG
rnacentral:lncRNA from 1 species